rnacentral:rRNA from 1 species
GAUGAACGCUGGCGGCGUGCCUAAUACAUGCAAGUCGAGCGAACAGAUGAGGAGCUUGCUCCUCUGACGUUAGCGGCGGACGGGUGAGUAACACGUGGAUAACCUACCUAUAGGACUGGGAUAACUUCGGGAAACCGGAGCUAAUACCGGAUAAUAUAUUGAACCGCAUGGUUCAAUAGUGAAAGACGGUUUUGCUGUCACUUAUAGAUGGAUCCGCGCCACAUUAGCUAGUUGGUAAGGUAACGGCUUACCAAGGCAACGAUGCGUAGCCGACCUGAGAGGAUGAUCGGCCACACUGGAACUGAGACACGGUCCAGACUCCUACGGGAGGCAGCAGUAGGGAAUCUUCCGCAAUGGGCGAAAGCCUGACGGAGCAACGCCGCGUGAGUGAUGAAGGUCUUCGGAUCGUAAAGCUCUGUUAGUAGGGAAGAACAAAUGUGUGAGUAACUAUGCACGUCUUGACGGUACCUAAUCAGAAAGCCACGGCUAACUACGUG